rnacentral:rRNA from 1 species
UUAAGCGACUAAGCGUACACGGUGGAUGCCCUGGCAGUCAGAGGCGAUGAAGGACGUGCUAAUCUGCGAUAAGCGUCGGUAAGGUGAUAUGAACCGUUAUAACCGGCGAUUUCCGAAUGGGGAAACCCAGUGUGAUUCGUCACACUAUCAUUAACUGAAUCCAUAGGUUAAUGAGGCGAACCGGGGGAACUGAAACAUCUAAGUACCCCGAGGAAAAGAAAUCAACCGAGAUUCCCCCAGUAGCGGCGAGCGAACGGGGAGCAGCCCAGAGCCUGAAUCAGUGUGUGUGUUAGUGGAAGCGUCUGGAAAGGCGCGCGAUACAGGGUGACAGCCCCGUACACAAAAAUGCACAUGCUGUGAGCUCGAUGAGUAGGGCGGGACACGUGGUAUCCUGUCUGAAUAUGGGGGGACCAUCCUCCAAGGCUAAAUACUCCUGACUGACCGAUAGUGAACCAGUACCGUGAGGGAAAGGCGAAAAGAACCCCGGCGAGGGGAGUGAAAAAGAACCUGAAACCGUGUACGUACAAGCAGUGGGAGCACGCUUAGGCGUGUGACUGCGUACCUUUUGUAUAAUGGGUCAGCGACUUAUAUUCUGUAGCAAGGUUAACCGAAUAGGGGAGCCGAAGGGAAACCGAGUCUUAACUGGGCGUUAAGUUGCAGGGUAUAGACCCGAAACCCGGUGAUCUAGCCAUGGGCAGGUUGAAGGUUGGGUAACACUAACUGGAGGACCGAACCGACUAAUGUUGAAAAAUUAGCGGAUGACUUGUGGCUGGGGGUGAAAGGCCAAUCAAACCGGGAGAUAGCUGGUUCUCCCCGAAAGCUAUUUAGGUAGCGCCUCGUGAAUUCAUCUCCGGGGGUAGAGCACUGUUUCGGCAAGGGGGUCAUCCCGACUUACCAACCCGAUGCAAACUGCGAAUACCGGAGAAUGUUAUCACGGGAGACACACGGCGGGUGCUAACGUCCGUCGUGAAGAGGGAAACAACCCAGACCGCCAGCUAAGGUCCCAAAGUCAUGGUUAAGUGGGAAACGAUGUGGGAAGGCCCAGACAGCCAGGAUGUUGGCUUAGAAGCAGCCAUCAUUUAAAGAAAGCGUAAUAGCUCACUGGUCGAGUCGGCCUGCGCGGAAGAUGUAACGGGGCUAAACCAUGCACCGAAGCUGCGGCAGCGACGCUUAUGCGUUGUUGGGUAGGGGAGCGUUCUGUAAGCCUGUGAAGGUGUGCUGUGAGGCAUGCUGGAGGUAUCAGAAGUGCGAAUGCUGACAUAAGUAACGAUAAAGCGGGUGAAAAGCCCGCUCGCCGGAAGACCAAGGGUUCCUGUCCAACGUUAAUCGGGGCAGGGUGAGUCGACCCCUAAGGCGAGGCCGAAAGGCGUAGUCGAUGGGAAACAGGUUAAUAUUCCUGUACUUGGUGUUACUGCGAAGGGGGGACGGAGAAGGCUAUGUUGGCCGGGCGACGGUUGUCCCGGUUUAAGCGUGUAGGCUGGUUUUCCAGGCAAAUCCGGAAAAUCAAGGCUGAGGCGUGAUGACGAGGCACUACGGUGCUGAAGCAACAAAUGCCCUGCUUCCAGGAAAAGCCUCUAAGCAUCAGGUAACAUCAAAUCGUACCCCAAACCGACACAGGUGGUCAGGUAGAGAAUACCAAGGCGCUUGAGAGAACUCGGGUGAAGGAACUAGGCAAAAUGGUGCCGUAACUUCGGGAGAAGGCACGCUGAUAUGUAGGUGAAGUCCCUCGCGGAUGGAGCUGAAAUCAGUCGAAGAUACCAGCUGGCUGCAACUGUUUAUUAAAAACACAGCACUGUGCAAACACGAAAGUGGACGUAUACGGUGUGACGCCUGCCCGGUGCCGGAAGGUUAAUUGAUGGGGUCAGCGCAAGCGAAGCUCUUGAUCGAAGCCCCGGUAAACGGCGGCCGUAACUAUAACGGUCCUAAGGUAGCGAAAUUCCUUGUCGGGUAAGUUCCGACCUGCACGAAUGGCGUAAUGAUGGCCAGGCUGUCUCCACCCGAGACUCAGUGAAAUUGAACUCGCUGUGAAGAUGCAGUGUACCCGCGGCAAGACGGAAAGACCCCGUGAACCUUUACUAUAGCUUGACACUGAACAUUGAGCCUUGAUGUGUAGGAUAGGUGGGAGGCUUUGAAGUGUGGACGCCAGUCUGCAUGGAGCCGACCUUGAAAUACCACCCUUUAAUGUUUGAUGUUCUAACGUUGACCCGUGAUCCGGGUUGCGGACAGUGUCUGGUGGGUAGUUUGACUGGGGCGGUCUCCUCCUAAAGAGUAACGGAGGAGCACGAAGGUUGGCUAAUCCUGGUCGGACAUCAGGAGGUUAGUGCAAUGGCAUAAGCCAGCUUGACUGCGAGCGUGACGGCGCGAGCAGGUGCGAAAGCAGGUCAUAGUGAUCCGGUGGUUCUGAAUGGAAGGGCCAUCGCUCAACGGAUAAAAGGUACUCCGGGGAUAACAGGCUGAUACCGCCCAAGAGUUCAUAUCGACGGCGGUGUUUGGCACCUCGAUGUCGGCUCAUCACAUCCUGGGGCUGAAGUAGGUCCCAAGGGUAUGGCUGUUCGCCAUUUAAAGUGGUACGCGAGCUGGGUUUAGAACGUCGUGAGACAGUUCGGUCCCUAUCUGCCGUGGGCGCUGGAGAAUUGAGGGGGGCUGCUCCUAGUACGAGAGGACCGGAGUGGACGCAUCACUGGUGUUCGGGUUGUCAUGCCAAUGGCACUGCCCGGUAGCUAAAUGCGGAAGAGAUAAGUGCUGAAAGCAUCUAAGCACGAAACUUGCCCCGAGAUGAGUUCUCCCUGACUCCUUGAGAGUCCUGAAGGAACGUUGAAGACGACGACGUUGAUAGGCCGGGUGUGUAAGCGCAGCGAUGCGUUGAGCUAACCGGUACUAAUGAACCGUGAGGCUUAACCU